rnacentral:tRNA from 1 species
AAGGAUUUAAGUUAAUUUAAACUAGAAGCCUUCAAAGCCUCCAAUAAAGGUAAUCUUUAAGCCUUA